CCCUUAGAUGUUCUGGGCCGCACGCGCGCUACACUGAUGCAUUCAACGAGUCUAAAACCUGCUCUGAUAGGGGUGGGUAAUCUUUUGAAUGUGCAUCGUGAUUGGGAUAGAUGAUUGCAAUUUUUCAUCUUCAACGAGGAAUACCUAGUAAACGCAAGUCAUCAGCUUGCAUUGAUUACGUCCCUGCCCUUUGUACACACCGCCCGUCGCUCCUACCGAUUGAAUGAUCCGAUGAAUAUCAUGGAUUGAGGAUGCAAGCAGGUUCGCCUGUCUUCAUCUUCGAGAAGUGAAGUAAAUCUUAUCAUUUAGAGGAAGGAGAAGUCGUAACA
rnacentral:rRNA from 1 species